rnacentral:rRNA from 1 species
AGCCUAACACAUGCAAGUCGAACGGUAACAGGAAGCAGCUUGCUGCUUUGCUGACGAGUGGCGGACGGGUGAGUAAUGUCUGGGAAACUGCCUGAUGGAGGGGGAUAACUACUGGAAACGGUAGCUAAUACCGCAUAACGUCGCAAGACCAAAGAGGGGGACCUUCGGGCCUCUUGCCAUCGGAUGUGCCCAGAUGGGAUUAGCUAGUAGGUGGGGUAACGGCUCACCUAGGCGACGAUCCCUAGCUGGUCAGAGAGGAUGACCAGCCACACUGGAACUGAGACACGGUCCAGACUCCUACGGGAGGCAGCAGUGGGGAAUAUUGCACAAUGGGCGCAAGCCUGAUGCAGCCAUGCCGCGUGUAUGAAGAAGGCCUUCGGGUUGUAAAGUACUUUCAGCGGGGAGAGAAGCGUGUUGAGGUUAAUAACCUCAGCAAUUGACGUUACCCGCAGAAGAAGCACCGGCUAACUCCGUGCCAGCANCCGCGGGUAAUACGGAGGGUUGCAAGCGUUUAUCGGGAAAUUAACUGGGGGCGG